GGCUAGUCUGUGUGCAGUUGUGUUUACAACUAUGAUCACCAAGAGUUACAGAUUUCUUUGCUCCUUCUCCAUUCCCACUGCUUCACUUGACUAGCCUAAU
ensembl:misc_RNA Y_RNA Y RNA